rnacentral:lncRNA from 1 species
CGAAAUAUUAAAAAUGAUGGCUGCUAUAAUUGACUAAAUGGAGAGGAUUGUCUCCCAUAUCAGCUAUAUAUAGAGGAUGCUAUUGAGAGCUGAGAGGUGUGUAUGAAAUAGAGAGAAACACCGUGAGAGAGUUAGAGAGAGAGUUGAGUAGAGAAGAAUUUUCUCCUCCUCCUUGUUUUAUUAUUUGUAUUGUUUCUAAGCAAGAUUAAUACAAACCAGUAGCUCCGUGGAGUAGGCAAGUUGCCGAACCACGUAAAUUUGUGUGUGUUUAAUUUCUGAAAUAUCCUAACAUUUGUCUCCUCACAUAAACAGUUUGCAAAUAUCCUCAUAAGAGGUUAAGUGCCCCUCUAUUCUUACUCAUUGCUGCAAUCUCAGACUUGUCUAAUCUUGAGGGGGAUGUUAGAGUACAGUGCGCAGAAUGAUGAUAAAUGUAAUCUUGAUUAAUAAAUCUGUUAGUUAGUUAGAAAAAUUAGUUAUAUGCAGCUAAGUUAUAACUAACUAACUACAGAAACAGUAAGAAUUGAAUAACAGAAAAGAAAAAGAUUAACAAGUUUUUUCAUUUUCUCUCGUCUCUCACUGAACCUCUCUGUAUAUACAACAAUAGAUACACGUUAACACACGGCUACUCUUACGAGCUUCCGAUCAUAAGGCACUACUCAUGAAAUGUAUUGAUCUUUGAACGCUAUAGCUUCGAAAUAUGUUCUCUUUAUUGCUCUCUAUAUGACUCUCAUUCCUUGAGUUUACAAAUGAGGGAGAGACUCCUUAUAUACUAGCUAUGAGGCGGUGAGAUAGAAUAGCUUCAGGAUUAAGAGAUAGAAUAAAGAAAAGAACCGGGUGCUUCUUUGGGCCCCAUCGUCAUUCUUUUUCCUUUUCUAUUCUUUCCUUAGGCUAGAGGGGAUUCUAAAAGCUCACGAAAGAAAAGAUAGUGGGGGACAGCUUUAUCUACAGCUGUCCUAAAGUUAAUAUUCUACAUUCUUGCCUUAAUGUUUAAGGCUUUACAUUUUGGUAGCUUUGCUAACUUCUUUGAUAAUCUCUUGCUCUUCUUCUUGCACUUGGGUAUACCAAUCUUUUUUAGGUGCUGAUGAAGAAGAGGCUUUGCCUGCUGUAGCUGGAACGAAGUCUUCCUUGUUGAGAGUGAAGCUUCCAUCUUCGUAGAUAGGAUUUGGCGUUUCGCCCCCGGCUUCGUUGUUCUCCGUCUGAUCUUUGUCAAUGGGAGGAAGGUCGUCUUCUGGUAAGUCGAUGAGGUUUCUCAUCUCCUUAAGAUCAUUGUCGCUGAGAUCAUAUCGUCUGUGGAUAUAUUGUCUUAGGACUUGAUCUUGCAUGUAGGGAAAGACCUUAACUCUGUGGAGGAUGUCUGACGUUUGUUGCUCGAUUUUGAUGAGCGAGAAUUCGAUCUGUUUAGACCGAACAACUUCUUCCUUAACUUGGAGCAUUGGCUUUGGCUGCUGCAUCAAGUUAACUGCCUGCUGUUGUUGCUGAGGAGCCGUCUUCAAUGUGUUGAUCUGGGCUUCUAGCAUCAUGAUUUGCUCAUGCAACGCCAGAAUUUGUUCAUCUUUGUUAUCGAUUUGUCCGCUAACUUCGGCUAGCUGGGACCUAUAAGUCUUGCAAUUUGAGCAUGUUGAUGUGCUAGAGCUGGCUUCCUGUGGAGGAGGGUUAUCAAACUGAUUUUUGAUAGCCGGACUAACAAAGAACGAAUGUCCUUUGAAGUGUCGGUGAGCAGCAUCUUUGGCUUCUCCGAUGGUUGUGUACUUUUUACACAAUGGUUGAACUCCUGGAUGAUAAUUGUAUUUUAGGACUUCAGACCAUGAGGAAUAAAUUCCGGGCUUAUUGCCUGAGGUGACCAUAUAGAUCAUUUUUUCCUCUUUUUCCUGCACAAAAUAUUUUGUUAGUCCUGCCAUAGUGGCUGUAACACAUGUUUCUGUUUGAAUGAAUACCAAAGAUUAUCAAGGAUAAUCUUUUCGACUUUUGUCGGGCUAUUGCCUUCUGGUACUUGAUAUUCAAGUCCACAAUCUUGUAGGUUGAACAAUUCGGAUGUUCCGAUUGUUAUCUUCUUAGAUGCUUCAAAAACAUAUUGUUCUUGAUCUUCCUCGAAGCGAGGGCCGAGAUAAGGGGAUAUUCCUCUUCCUCGUCCUCUGGCUAUGGCCGGUUUAUUGCGCUGUGGCGCUGAUCUUUUGAUCUGAAAUAUUCCCUGUUGGGAUUGCAUUUUUCUCUCUCUUUCUAUAGGUGCUAAUGCACAAUAUUUAUAUAUUUAUAUAUUGGUAAUCCCUAUUGGGACCUUUAGGUUUUCUGGGUAGUGAGUGAGCGUUUCUUGCCAUGUUUGAGGAAUGUUUUGUUUUGUGGAGGUGAGUGAAGAGUGGUGUGAGAGGUUUGCUUAUAUAGCGAGAUAAGGUGUCGGCUAUGCCGUUUUCCUUACCCUCUAAGUAUUCAAAGUGAAUACGAUA